UACCAGCUGUGUGUUAGACGAAACGAAAAUGCUUUGGUUUUGCAUCGUGUUUUGAGACUGUCUGGUGACAUGAUGGAUUAAUUGCUGUUUGACUGACAAUAAAUGAACAUAUGUGUGUGUUUGGAGAUUGCUGAGGUUAAUAUCUUCACAAUUGGGAAAACCCAACAUAAGUUGACUGCCAGUCUGACCACUGAUCUGCAUAAUAUCAGUGGGAGAGCAUGCUGAAUCCCGCAGCUUCUGCACCAUAUGUUUCCUGGCCGAGUGGUUGAAAGUUGCGACCACACAUUCCAUGGGUGAUGAUAUCUACCAAAAUUCUUGGCGGCACAGUUCUACCCUCGUCAGUUGCACUGGUCUGAGUCUUUCUCUGCCUCUCAACCAACUCGAGAUAUUCCCCCCCCCCAACUUCAUCCCGGCACAGCUUCACAUCAACCCAUCUAAUUAAUUUGUCGGAAAGGUUGACUACACAAAUUUCCUGUUUGGUUGUGGAGAUAGAACUAUUUUUUUGUGAAAGUUUGAUUUCAGACACUUAAAAAUUGAAAUUGUCAUGUAUUAUUAGGCAUGGCAGGCAUUAGCAAAGCAUCUCAAUCAAGUAAUUAUUAUUUUACUUUGUUAAUGUUAAUUCAUUGUGUAUGCUAUUCACCUGUUUACCUUGCUUUUUAUAAGAAUGACACAAAAAAGGAAAGCAUUUGUAAAGUAUUAGUUUUUUAAAAAUAUAAUCUUAGACGAGAUGUUUAGUGAAUAUUUGUCA